rnacentral:lncRNA from 1 species
GUGGUUGUCGACUUGCGGGCGGCCCCCCUCCGCAGCGGUGGGGGUGCUGUCCCGCCGGCCCGUCGUGCUGCCCUCCCGGGGAGUUUGCGCGAGCGUUGGCUCCCCCUGGGCCUUUGCGGUGCUCCUGGAGCGCUCCGGGUUGUCCCUCAGGUUCCCGAGGCCGAGCGGUGGUGUGUCGUUCCCACCCCCAGCGCCCCCUCCUCCGGUCGGCGCCUCGGUGUCCGCGCGUGGGUCCUGAGGGAGCUCGUCGCCUUGGAGUGGUGGGAGGGGAGAG